rnacentral:lncRNA from 1 species
GAAUAUGGUAUUUUGUUAAAUUCACCUUCACCGGAGGGACAAGCGUGUCGUCCAGCAUCUCAUACAUCUGUACUGCGUGUCAAAGCAUUGUGUGUAGGACGAAAUAAGCUUGACAUCAAAGAGAUCCGAUUACCCUAAAAAAUCAAAUAGAUCAAUCAGCUGAUGCAAGUUUGCAACUGCAUCAACCAGCUCACACUGUUACAAUCCUACUUCAUCAUCUGGGGGACAAGCGUGUCGUCCAGCAUCUCGUACAUCGCUUCCCACCGCGGAUGCAUCUGAUCCUUGAGAAGAACAUGCGGGUCCUUUGCAUCCACCAUUAUCUAGCUAACCCCGGGUGUCCUCCACACCUGGCUCCCCUUCAUGGCCUUAUACGCCCCUGCCAUCUCCUCCCACAUCCCACCUGACGCAAACACACUCACCAGAACCGUGUAGUAGCCUCCCAAACCCGAACCAGAGGGACCGUCAGACUUUGGAAGAGCUUCCCCCACCAUUGUUCAUAAAGCGUCCCACCUUGGACGCUUACGCGGCAAUGCGCCCUGGAGGCACGGCCUUUGUCGACGACACUGGCAUGGCUGCAGGCUGAUAACGCGGCGAUGAAGGUGGUUGAGCUGGGCUUGUAUCCAUGUUGCAACAUCUGAGCACAGGCCUGCAGCGCGUAGGAGGCACGGCCAUGGUUGGCGAAGGCCCGCAUCAUCGAUGUCCAUGUGACGGGAUCCUUCUCUUGUAACAUGUUGAAAACUUGCCAGGCAGAGUGCAGGUCACCGCUCCUUGAAUACAUGGUGAGCAGAGCGUUUCCUAAGGAGGUGUCUGACAGGAGACCUCGUGUGGUAGCGAAGCCAUGGAUUUGCCCAACUUCAACUGUGCUCUCGGAUGCAACCAAGACACUGAUCAAUGUAGUUCCGUCAGGGGAUACUGCUGACCGGAGCAUGAGAAGAAAUAAACGCAUGACUUCGCCCUUGUGCUUGUUUUUGGCAUAGCCAUGGAUUAUGGCACUCCAGCUCACCAGGUCCUUUGCGGGCAUAGAAUCGAACAAUCUCUGAGCCUUGUUCAUCUGGCCAGCGUUGGCAUAAGCAGUGAUCAUCGCAUUCCACGCUGCAAUGUCCUUGUUUCUGGGCAUUCUGUCGAAGAACUCUCUCACCAUCGAAACGCGGCCGUUCUGCGCCAAGCCAGUGACCAUUGUGGUCCAAGAAACCACGUUCCUAUCCGGCAUCCUCUCGAACAGCCGAACCGCCUCGUCCACUUUCCCAGCACGGAGGAAACCGGAGAUCAUGGCGCUCCAAGAAUACGGGUUCCUCUGGGGCAUCCUGUCGAACAGCUCCACGGCCUCCUGAAGAUGACCGUGGUCGGUGUAGGCCUUCACCAUGACCGUCCAGAUGACCACGUUCCUCUCCAGCAUCCGGUCGAACACCUCUCUUGCCUCCCUCAGCAUCCCUUAAGUCUUCUUGUCUGUGUGAUCUGAAGACUUAUUACACUUGAGGACUGUGCAUCCUCCAGCCGGUUAGGCAUCGCGUUCUGAGCAUCCAAGAGACAUUGUGGAUUGCCGGUGAACGAAGUCUGUGAAGGUUUGGGAGUCUACCUUGAAGACUUACUAGAGUGAUUGGGCGAGGUCUAUGUGACCUUAGCUCAAGGAGAAUACGGUGACGACUGGGUGUCCUGAGCUGCGUGUUCAGGACUGGGUGUCCGGAACUGUGUGUCCUAAGGAUUAAAUACCUAGCCGCUCCAACCAGACAUACAGUUGUCACAGCAACUGGAACUGGUCCAACACAUCAUUGUCUUCAACGAGUCACUGGUUUCAUCUUCACUUCCUUUUACUUACUGAUUACUCAUUGUGAAGUCAUUGCAUGUCUGUUUUAUCUUUUGUCUUCACAACGUGAGUGUAUGAUCUGUUUGGCUUCAUAAUAUCUUCCUACCUGAUCCUUAUUACACUGCAGCUAUUUGUCACUGUGCUUUCACUCUGUUGAUACUUGACCAUGGCUUGCUUAGUGUAGUCUACCUUCCGCUGCAUAGUAAUAGGCAUAUCUCUGCUGUUUGUCUUCAUAACUUCCACGUUUUGAAGACUUUCAUAAAAAUCGCCUAUUCACCCCUCCUCUAGUCGAUAUAACGCACUUUCAAUUGGUAUCAGAGCAAGGUGCUCCCUUGUUCUGUGUGAUUCGGUUUAACCACCUGGAGUUUUAGUUAUGUCGACUGCAGGGAUAAUCAAAGUCUCCGCUGCGUGCCCCGUCUUUGAUGGAACUGAAUAUCCCUACUGAAAGAAUAAGAUGCGUAUGCAUCUUGAAGCCAUUGACGUUGACCUAUGGUAUGUCGUCGAGAACGGCGUUCCCAAGGCUGGAGAAGGUGUCACUGCUGCUGAUGUCAAGAAAUUCGUUCAACUGGACUCUACUGCCAAGAAUAUCAUCUGUGGUCAUCUGACCAAAGGACAGUAUGGCCGUGUAAGUGCUUUGAAGACAUCCAAGCUGGUCUGGGACUAGCUCUCCAAGGUCAAUGAAGGCAUCCCCAGAGAGAUCAGAGAAUCAGUGUCCUUCGCAACCUCUUCAACCGCUUCAAGCGAAAUCACAAUGAGAAUGUCCAGCACACAUUUGACCGACUCACUGACAUCACAAAUGAGCUUCAAGCCCUCGGCGCCACUGAGAUUACCAAACACGAAGUCGUCAAGACGCUUCUGAGAUCACUUGAUAGUUCAUUUGACAUCCUGGCCCUAAUGAUUCAAGAACGUCCUGACUUCAAGACACUCGAUCCGUCUGACAUACUUGAGAGGCUCAACACACAUGAGUUUCAGCUUUCGGAGAAAGAGAGAUCUACGGUCCAAAUUAUGGGCGAACUCGUGCCUUGAAGGCAAAAGCUGUCUCCUCAUCUGAAGAAGAAUCUGACAGCAGUUCUGAUGACCCUGAAGACAUUGGAAGGGAACUUGCUAUGCUUGUCAAGAAGUUCCAAAAAUUCACCAAGAAGAAAGGCUUCAGAAAGUCUUCCUGAUCAAGUUCAAGGAAUGAUGAAGCUCCUGCUCAUGACUACAAGAAGAAAACAUGUCAUAAGUGCAAGAAACUUGGCCACUUCAUCUCUGAGUGUCCACAGUGGGACAAUGAGAACAAAAAGAAGAAGAAGAGCAAGGAAUAUGACUCUGACGACAAGAAGAAGAAGAAGAAAUACUCAAAGUCUUCUUCCAAGUCUUCCUCAAAGUCUUCAUCACACAAGAAGAGCUCAUUUGGCAAGGCACGUGCGUUUGUUGGCAAGGAAAUAGAUUCAGAGGAGGAGUCUGCUUCAGAGGAGGCGGAGGUGGAGUCUGAGGAGGAAUCAGACUCAGGCGUCGCAAGUCUGGCUACAACAUACGUUGCCAAGUCCAUCUUCAACACUGAAGACAAUGACUUCAUCACCGACACCGAUGCAAAUGACAAGGACUACUCCGCCUCUACCUACUGCUUCAUGGCACGCGGUGCCAAGAUAAACACACGCACUACUCACUAUCAAACAUCUAGUGACGAUGACUCUGAUUGUGGUUCAAAACCUAGCUACAAAACACUUGCUAAAAUUGCAACUGAACAACAGAAAGCUAUGGAACAUAUUCAAAAACUGUUAGACAGAAGCGAUGAUCUGUUGGGUGCUGAAAUGACUCGAUCUGAAUCCUUAAUUGAAGACAUAAAAAAUCUUCACGUUAAGUAUCAGGAACUUGGAAGUCGUCAUGAAACUCUCUCAACAACUCAUGAAAAGCUUUCCUAUGAUUAUCUUCAAAGGAAGCAAGAUCUUGAGAAAUUGAGAGCGGUUCAUGAAGAUCUUCAAACGGAAAACGAGUCACUUCGCGCCAAACAGAUCAGUCCCGCUCAGGAAGGAUUUGAACCACCAUGUCUUAAAUGCAUUGAGCGUGAUAAUGCUACUUCUGUUGCUGAAUGUUCUACUGCUACUGCUGUUGCAAUAUCUUCAACUGUUGAUGCGGUAACUAACCCCUCUGUUGAGGAUACCACCGCUAUUGCUGAUGAGAAUGCUAGGUUGAAGACAUUUCUUGAAACAGGGAUGUACAAAAGCCUUAAAGGGCAUCAGACGCUAUGUGAUGUCCUGAAAAAGCAGAUUCUGAACCGAAACCCUAGGAAAGAGGGUGUAGGGUUCGUAAGGAAAAUGAAUGCAGAUGGCUCUUACUGGAAACCUGAGCAGUACCCCAAAACCAUGUGGGUUGCUGCAAAGGAACCUUCAGCAGAUCCAUCCAAUCUAACUGGCUUCACUUGUGCUAACCCCAUUAUCAUUGAUGAAUCCUUUGAUGCAAACUAUGUACUGUUUAAGAAUCAGAAUGGUGAAGUGUUUGCCAGGUACAUUGGUACUAACUGCAGGAAUGGACCGCCUAUGAAGAAGAUCUGGGUUCUGAAAAGGUGUCUGGAAAAUCUUCCUGUGAAUGUCUUCAUGACACCUCACUUGAAGAAGACAAACCUCAGACCAAAGGCUUCAUACGGUCCAAAGGCUUCAUACAAACAGAGGACUCACCUAAGUCACACUAACGCAAAUGUUUUGCAGGGAAACCAUACUCAGGCAUAUGAAUAUGAGAGCGGUUCAUCAAACCGCCAUGUUCAUAAGACCAAGAACUAUUCUGCUUAUUCUUAUGAGUACUAUUGUCCACCUGCAAGACUGUUUCUAAGGCUUCAAAGCCAAAAUUCUCAGAUGCUGCACUUAAACUUAUUGCUUCUAAGCCACCCUUGAAUAUGUGGGUGGUUAAGAAGGCUUAACUCUCUUUUGCAGGGAAAGGUCUCCAGCAGAAAACCAAAAUCGUCUGACGCUAUUGCUGGAGACCUUAAACAUCUUGUAGGGCGCAAGAUCAAAUGCCCAAAUGGUCUUACUAUGUACUUCGUACCUGAAUCGCUUGCUACUCUCCCUAUUAGUCCUAACAUGGAUCUAAGCUUUCAUAACCCACUGGUUCAUCAAAUGUUUUUGCUUCACAAUGCUCUUGGUGAAGCCUAUCCCCCUAACUGCACUGUAGGGUACGACACCAACGUCUUCAGAAUGGAUUAUUGAUAGUGGGUGUACAAAUCACAUGACUGGCAAAAGAAGUCUUCUUAUGGACUCAACCUUACGUCCAUCUGACAAGAGCCACAUCACAUUUGCUGACACUGGUAAAAGUAAGGUAUUGGGUCUAGGUAGAAUUGCAAUCUCAAGGGAUCAACACAUGGAUAAAGUCAUGCUUGUUGAAUCCCUUGGCUUCAACUUAAUGUCUGUCUCAAUGCUUUGCGAUUUGAACAUGAUCGUAAUGUUUGGAAAAUAUCGUUGCCUUGUACUAAUGGAAUCUGACAAGUCUCUAGUGUUUGAAGGGUAUCGAAAAGAUGAUUUGUAUGUGGUAGAUUUCUCAGCAGGGCCACAGCUUGCAGUAUGUCUUCUAGCAAAGGCUUCAGAAUGCUGGCUCUAGCAUCGAAUGCUUGGACAUGCUGGCAUGAGGAACCUCCACACCCUUUUCGAAGAAGAAGCAUGUCAUAGGCAUCGAGGGCGUCAAGUUCAAGAAAGACCACUUAUGCGGUGCCUGUGAAGCAGGGAAGAUGACGAGGGCCAAACAUCCCUCGAAGACAAUCAUGAUUAGUACUCAACCCUUCGAACUGCUUCACAUGGAUCUUUUCGGUCCCACUCAUUACUCAACUCUAACUACUACUGCUUGCCUCUAUGGCUUCGUUAUUGUUGAUGAUUAUUCUAGAUAUACUUGGGUGCACAUAAUCCUUUACAAGACUGAAGUGCAGGAUGUCUUCAGACGCUUCGCCAAUCGAGCUAUGAACAAUUUUGGCGCCAAGAUAAAGCACAUCAGAAGUGACAAUGGCACUAAAUUCAAGAACACUGGCCUUGAUACAUAUCUUGAUACCUUGAGCAUCACACAUGAAUUCUCUGCCCCGUACACGCCAGAGCAGAAUGGCGUCGUCGAACUCAAGAAUAGAACACUAAUUGAGAUGGCCAGAACGAUGCUAGAUGAAUACAAGACCCCAAGAAAAUUCUGGCCCGAAGCCAUUGAUACUGUGUGCCAUACAAUCAAUCGUGUUUAUCUUCACAAGCUACUGAACAAGACAUCUUAUGAGCUCCUUACUGGUAAGAAGCCAAAUGUCGGUUACUUCAGAGUAUUUAGCGCAAGGUGCUGGAUCAAGGACCCACAUCACACCUCAAAAUUUGCACCAAAAGCCCAUGAGGGUUUUAUGCUUGGAUAUGGAAAGGAUUCGCACUCCUACAGAGUCUUCAGUCUCUUUCAUUACAAAGUGAUUGAAACAGUGGAUGUGCGGUUCGAUGAGACCAACGGCUCACAAAGAGAGCAGCUGCCAAGUGUGCUAGAUGAAGUUCCAUCCAGUGAAUCAAUCAAGCUAAUGGGAACUGGAGAAAUUAUACCUUCUGAAGCUCAUCCUGAAGAAGAACUUAUCAUUUCAGCACCUGAUCAACAUGAAGACAAUGCUCAGCCUGAAGACAUUCCUUCAAACAAUGACAAUGAACAGCAAGAGCAAAGUCUUCGCCCUGUACAUCCUCACGUUGCCAAUGAAGUGCAGAUUGAAAGAAUAAUUGAUAGCAUAAAUGCACCUGGUCCACUCACUCGUUCAAGGGCAACUCAGCUAGCAAAUUUCUGUGGGCACUUCGCGUUCGUCUCAAUAUCAGAACCCAAGAAAGUUGAAGAAGCCUUCAUGGAACCUGAAUGGAUUCAAGCUAUGCAAGAAGAGCUUCAACAGUUUGAGCUGAAUAAUGUAUGGGAACUGGUUAAGCGUCCUGAUCCACGGAAGCACAACAUAAUAGGCACCAAAUGGAUAUACCGCAACAAGCAAGAUGAGCAUGGUCAAGUUGUCAGAAACAAAGCUCGUCUCGUUGCUCAAGGAUAUACUCAAGUGGAAGGCAUUGACUUCGAUGAAACAUUUGCUCCUGUGGCUAGACUUGAAGCCAUACGCAUACUGCUAGCCUAUGCAAAUCAUCAUAACAUACUUCUAUAUCAAAUGGAUGUGAAGAGUGCCUUUCUCAAUGGCAAGAUUGAAGAAGAAGUGUAUGUUGCACAACCACCUGGCUUUGAAAAUUUAAAACAUCCUGACAUGGUAUACAAGCUCAACAAGGCACUGUAUGGCCUCAAACAAGCCCCUCGGGCCUGGUAUGACACACUCAAAUGCUUCCUGAAGAGCAAAGGCUUCAUACCUGGUUCCCUAGAUCCCACUCUUUUCACGAAGACAUAUGAUGGUGAACUGUUUGUGUGCCAAAUAUAUGUGGAUGACAUUAUCUUCGGCUGCACCAAUCAGAAGUACAGUGAAGAGUUUGGAUAUAUGAUGCAAGAGCAAUAUCAGAUGUCCAUGAUGGGGGAGCUGAAGUUCUUCCUUGGUCUUCAAAUACGGCAACAACGCAAUGACAUCUUCAUAUCUCAAGAGAAGUAUCUCAAAGAUUGCCUGAAGAAGUUCGGUAUGCAAGACUGCAAAGGCUUCACAACACCAAUGCCAGCCAAACAUCAUCUGGGUCCUGACGACAAUGGUAAAGAGUUCGAUCAAAAGGUAUAACGCUCCAUAAUUGGUUCUUUACUUUAUCUAUGUGCAUCUAAGCCAGAUAUUAUGCUUAGUGUUUGCAUGUGUGCUCGAUUUCAAGCGGCACCAAAGGAGUCGCAUCACUUAGCUGUGAAGCGAAUUCUUCGAUAUUUGGCUCACACCCCAACUCUAGGAUUAUGGUAUCCAAAGGGCUCAGAGUUUGAUCUGGUUGGAUUCUCGGAUGCUGAUUAUGCCGGUGACAAAGUUGAUCGCAAGUCUACAUCAGGCACAUGUCACUUUCUGGGACGAUCACUUGUAUGUUGGUCUUCAAAGAAGCAGAACUGUGUAUCUCUCUCCACUGCUGAAUCUGAAUACAUUCCUGCUGGAUCUUGCUGCGCUCAGCUUCUGUGGAUGAAGCAAACACUCAAGGACUAUGGCAUCCAUCUGAAGCAAGUGCCACUCUACUGCGACAACGAAAGCGCCAUCAAGAUUGCUAACAACCCAGUUCAGCACUCGAAGACAAAGCACAUUGAAAUUCGUCAUCUCUUUCUCAGAGAUCAUGUUGUGAAGGAAGACAUUGAUAUCAUACACGUCAACACUGAAGAGCAAUUGGCAGAUAUCUUCACCAAGCCCUUGGAUGAGAAGAGGUUUUGCAAGUUACGGUGUGAGCUAAAUAUCCUGGAAUCCUCAAAUGUCCUGUGAUCAGGCACACAUCCUAACCCUUAUGCAUAUUGAUGACUUAGAUGUGCAACACACGAAGUGAAGUAUAUCUUCAAUCAAUGAAGACAUACAUUCUAAGUGUGAAUACAUUAAUGUGGAAUUUGACUUCGGAGCGCCACGAUAAUUGUGCGCCGUGUCUGGGUCUAAUACUUCCUAUACGGUGGGUAACGUCACCACCAAACAUUCUAUUUUGAAGUGUUUCACUCAUGGCGUUACCUUGCAGUGUCUUCACAUUUGGUUUGGCUUCGAACUCAACAUAUUUUCAUGAUUAUCUUCACUAUGUUGAUUAUAGAUAUAUACAUAUAUAUAUAUGCUAGUGUUCUGUCCUCUACAGCAUUCACUUAUAGCUAUGUCUUCGUGUUGAAUCUUUUGAACUAAGUGAAUAUGAUCGGACCCCAACUUCUUUAUGCUUUCUAUCUCAAACUCUAUCUCUCCAAGUCAUAUGCAUUCUAUUGAAACUGUCGAAUGUCUUCACUGUGUCCUUGUCAGCAGAAGAUACAGAGACAACCAUUAAGUCCGUUUUCAAUGCUCAUUCCUCCACAUGAAAUCCGGAGAAGUAGGAACGACCACCCGACAAUCCAGGCGUGCGUGGGACGUGGAACAAACCCCAAAAUUCCGCAUACAAGCCACGUGUUCCUCAGAUGCGAAUCGCCAGGGGCACCUGUGUAAUAGCACAGUGCCGCCCCUGUGCCUAUAAAUACACACUCACAGCGGUAAUUAUCUCUUCUUCCACCCUCGCACGAACCCUAGCGCCACCGCUAGCUCUCGACGACGCCGGCGACGAAGCGCUUCGCUGCCGUAACCUCUCCGACGCCGUCUUCACGCCGACCACGGACAUCGUCCUCUCCGCCGUCGCCGUAGGUCUCCUCCGUCGCCAAGUUAGGGCACGGACGAGUGAACUGCUCGGCCUCAUCUCCCACUCCGUCUAGCAGUUCUCAGUGUGGUAAAUAAAACUCCCUUUUUACAGCACCAUUGAUCCUAUUGAUCUGUCACUUUCUACCACAAACAGUUUCUGUUCACACAAGCUAGAUCUCUCUCAUACUGCAUCUCAUAACAUGCCUAGUAUAUUCACUUGUGCUUCACAAAGUAGUUAGAUUCCUCACUUGUACUGAUCUGUGGAUUUGUACAAAUCUGGAACCAACUUCUUAUCUAUGAGUGAAUGUCUUCGCACGAUGAGGUCAAUGUCUUCUAAACCGAUUUAUCUUCAAAAUCUUCUGAGAAUGCAUAUGACAUCUUCCCCUUCCCUCGCACCUUAAUGUUGUCACAGGUACAUGUACGCGGGAGAAUCCUUUGGUUCUCAUAGUCUGCAUUCAUUUGCAGAAUUCUUAAAGCAUCACAUAAAUUCUCCUGAAGCCAGUUCCUGUUGGUCCAGCAAGAGAAAGCCUUUGAAGCCUUUGAACAUCUUGAAGCCUUUCAAGUUAAAGUUUGAAUCUGAUGCACCAAGGCAAGAAGCAGUUUCGAUUGUCUUCCCAACAAGAAUGACUGGCUCGAAGCCAAAGAGUUGGUCAACAGCUUCAGAGCUCAAGAAGACAAGAACUGCUGAGGCUGAAGCCAGGAAGAGGAAGCACUCUGAAGCCUCUCCUACUGACCCCACCAAGAAAAAGAGAAAUACCAAGAAAUCUCGGGCUACUCCCACAGAGCCCUUGAUAGUUGAACCCAUCUCUAUGGUUCAUCCUGACGCAGAACGUCAACUGACAGUUCAUGAGCCUGCUUCUACAGAGGCUCCUGAAGCUGAAGACAUUCCAGCAGCUGAUCCCAUCGCUGCUGAAGACAUUGGUCAUCAUGACAAUGUAGAAGAUGAUGCAGUCCUUCCUCAGUUUGAAAACAGUGAACUCAUCAGCAUUGGUCGUCCACCGACGCCAAUUGCACAGGAUGCCUCAUGGGCGGAUCGCCCACAAGAGGAAGAAGACUAUGAGGCCCAGCCCACUCCAACUCCACAUGCGUCGUUUGCGUUCCGCAGGCUUCACAAAGGUCCAAGGCCUCAAGUCUCUGCUGAAGACAUUCCGGCUGCAACAGCCGCAGAAGAAGAAGUACCACAAGAUCCCACUCUCUUGUUCCACCAAGAAGCAGUUCUCCAGGAGAAUGUGCCUGUGACCGACCCUCCAGCUAGUCAAGAGGAGGAUGAAAAUCUUGAGGCUGCCACAACCACAAAUGAAGCUAAUGUGGAGCCCUCCCCAGCAAAAGCUUCAGAAGACAGCGAAGCCACUGAUCCUGCCACUUCUGUUUCUGAGUCUGCUGCCGGUCCCCAAUUCAACUAUCAUGUUGAGCACAGGCCUUAGGUCCAGAAGCCAAUCCCAAGACUCCCAAGGUUUCCAGGUCCUGCAUCAGCACCUGGCUCCUUCAACAUCAAUGGCUUCAGGGCAGACAACACGUUCUUCGAUAGCUCCAGGAACCCCUACUCAAGGGAAAGGAUAUCAUCUGAUCGGUUCUGGAGCUAUCCUCAGCGAAGCUAUUACUCUUGCAUUCUUUACAACCAAGGUCGCAUCUUCCCACACAAGCGCCUUGACGUUGAAGCUAUAGCUGGUCUGCCCUGUCUAGAAGAAGCGUUGGAUUGCUUCAAGCAAGUGGGUCUGCUGUAGUUUGUCACUAAUGAAGAGCAUUGGAAUGAAGAGCUACUGCUACAAUUCUAUGCCACACUUCACAUCAAAGGGUAUAGCAGAGAUCCGAAGACUUGGGUCCUGGAGUGGAUGACUGGCAACGUUCAUCACGAAGCCAAUGCAUUUGACAUCAUUGAGCUCACUGGCUUGCCCACUCCUGGCGAUCUCUUCGAGCAAGGCUGUCAGCUGCAUACUGAAGCUAUUGAGAGCAUCUUUCAGCGGCCAGAACCCAAUAUGAGUCAAAUGCUCAGCAUGAUGAAGCCAAUGCCCCCAGAUGCUGCGUAUCCCACAGAGUUCUUCGUUGAAGACCUUGAGUACCUGCCCAGAACCAUCUAUCACAUCAUCAGGCGGACUCUCUGGCCUAUCAAAGGGCACUCUCCAAAUGCCAAGCUUCAGGGUGCAAUGAAGACUUUGGUCUUCUAUAUACUUCAUGGCAAAUGCUUCAAUGCACGGGACUUCUUCAUACGCCAACUUGCUGCAUCAGGCAUGGAUCUGUUUGGUUUGAAGUUCUACGCCCCUUGGGUCAUGCGGCUGAUCAAGCUACACUCCGCCAUCAAGUAUCAGCCCUCAGCCCGCAACCAUCGGAUCUUCUUGCCUGACGUGGACAUGUCAACUGAAGCCAUAUAUUCUGAGCCUGCCAAGCAACCUCUAAGUCUUCAAAAUGCAGAACAUCAGAGUUUUACUCAGAACGAUGAAGGCGUUGAAGCAGUUUCUCGGGUGUAUCCUUUGGCUGGCACUACACGUGCACCACACCCUGCUUCAACUGAAGCCACUGACAGUGCCACUGCUCCAAGACCCAAGAAGCGCACUCGUGUUCUCAACAACCGAGAGCUUCUUGUGGCUCUACAUCAGAAACAAGAUAGGCAUCAUGACUGGCUGAAGCGUCAGAUGAAAAGCCUUUUGGUGGAUGUCAAUCGCACUCGAAAUCUUGCCACCAAGAAUGCGUUCGUUGCCCAUGAAACCUGUCGUUGCACAUGGAAAGGGCUAACGAUGAUGCUUUAUGAAGCUGAACUUCAAGAGGAUGGCUUCAAUGAGAGAUUCAAGUUUGACUCCACACCUCCUCGAAGGGCUGUGCUGCUAGGAACUCCAUCCCUUGAAGACUCUGAGUUCUCUUCCUCUGCUGCCACAGUAACUGCCAGAAUUAUUGAGGAAGAAGACGAUGCUACUUCACCGCCAUAUCCUUCAGCACCUCCAAGCUCUUCUGCACCGCCAAACAACACCAACAACCCUGCUACUUCAUCUACUCCUCAUGGGAACGAGUAGAGGCUCUAUGUAUUCAAACCUUUUUGGUCAUUACUGACAAAAGGGGGAGAAGCAUAUGAGAUUGAUAGUCUUCAAGCGGGUUCAUAUGGGCGUUGUGCUUACAACUCUCGUUUUUGCUACAUUUGGUUCUUAUGAGUUGUAACACUUAAACCAGAUGGUCGUCUGCUACUUGUUGGCCACCUUGUUUUGCGAAGAUAAAUUCCGCAUGUGCGACGAUAUUCCGCACUUAGCUCAUUCUGCAGACGUCCAUUUUCUAUUAUGCAUGUCAUUAUCUUCAUAUACUUUCACAUGCAUAGUGGAUUGUCAUCAUAAGCUGAAGUGGAUCUCCACAAGUACAACCUGCCAUGUGCAUUUGCAUUCCAAAAGCAAACUAACUUAUAUGCACAUCUUCAGGGGGAGCCCUUGCAACUUAUGAAGACAAUUCCUUAUCCUUUACAAAUUCACAGAUUAUAUUCCCCGUUGAAAACUUCAACUAGUUUGUCAUCAAUCACCAAAAAGGGGGAGAUUGUAAGUGCAUCUAGUGCCACCCCUAGUUGGUUUUGGAGUAUUGACGACAAACCUAGUUGAGGGACUAAUGUGUUUGUGAGAAUUACAGGAUAACACAGGUAGAAGUCCCUCAUUGAUUCGGUUUUACUACCAGAGAUGACCCCUAAAAUGUAUGAAGACAUUGAAGUCAAAGGUGGUAUAUGAAGAUAUUCUCAUUGAAGACUAUGACAAGAGAAGACACGAUAUGAAGCCUAUGGAGCUCGAAGACUUAGAUCUUUCGUAGGUCUUUUUCUUUUGUGUUGAGUCAUAGGAACCACCGUACUGUUAAGUGGGGUCUAAGAGAACCAGUCAGAAUGACUGAAGUGAUGCCUAAACCAAAAACAUAUGUCUUCGAGUGAAGACAAUGAGAGCGAAUCUUGUCCAGAGUCGGACAAGUCAGCUUUGCUUGUAGCCCAAGUAAAGUUGCCGUGUGAGUUUGAAAUAUGACCGUUGAGACACGUGUCAGUUCCUUAGUGACCCAGGGUCAUUUCGGACAAAUCAGGUCGGGUUGCCAAGUGGCUAUAAAUAGCCCACCCCCUACAACCAUAAACGGUUGGCUGCUCAGAUUGAAAGUACGGCUUUUGUCGUUUGAGAGCAACCCACCUCGAAGCCAUUGAGAGAGAAUUCCUUGUAAGGAUAAAGCCCUAACCACCCAGAGCCAGAGAGAAAUGGGCAUCACUUAAGUCUUCUUGUUUGUGUGAUCUGAAGACUUAUUACACUUGAGGACUGUGCAUCCUCCAGCCGGUUAGGCGUCGCGUUCUGAGCAUCCAAGAGACAUUGUGGAUUGCCGGUGAACGAAGUCUGUGAAGGUUUGGGAGUCUACCUUGAAGACUUACCAGAGUGAUUGGGCGAGGUCUAUGUGACCUUAGCUCAAGGAGAAUACGGUGAGGACUGGGUGUCCUGAGCUGCGUGUUCAGGACUGGGUGUCCGGGACUGUGUGUCCUAAGGUUUAAAUACCUAGCCGCUCCAACCAGACGUACAGUUGUCACAGCAACUGGAACUGGUCCAACACAUCAUUGUCUUCAACGAGUCACUGGUUUCAUCUUCACUUCCUUUUACUUACUGAUUACUCAUUGUGAAGUCAUUGCAUGUCUGUUCUAUCUUUUGUCUUCACAACGUGAGUGUAUGAUCUGUUUGGCUUCAUAAUAUCUUCCUACCUGAUCCUUAUUACACUGCAGCUAUUUGUCACUGUGCUUUCACUCUGUUGAUACUUGACCAUGGCUUGCCUAGUGUAGUCUACCUUCCGCUGCAUAGUAAUAGGCAUAUCUCUGCUGUUUGUCUUCAUAACUUCCACGUUUUGAAGACUUUCAUAAAAAUCGCCUAUUCACCCCCCCUCUAGUCGAUAUAACGCACUUUCACUUCUUCUAUUGCCAAUCGGCCAUCUUUCACUGAUUUCUUCUUACUCUUCCUUUUGUUGUGAACACCACAUCACAAAUACUAGUGAAAUUACAUACAACAGUAACUGAUAGAGAGGUUUGAGUGCCUUCUUUUUAACUCCAUUGAUUGGACAGGGCCAAUUACACAUUUUGAAUCUUAUUCUCGUUGCCCAUGCGAGUCUUCUUCACUGGUGGUUUCCACUCUUGGACCUACAUGUCAGUGGCUCUAUCUCUCCUUGAUAAGCAGCCCUAAACCUCUCCGAUGAGAAAAGGUAAAUAGUUAGGGUGUGUGUGGAUAAUGAGAUAGACUUUCUCAUGCUUUGUCUGUGAAUUCAUUGAUUGCCAACAAAGCACAGUGAGGUCUCCAGCACCUCCAUUCACCAAAAGUGUUUCCAGCACCAAGCAUGCCUCCCCAAAUGGAUAAUUGGAGGAUACGGAUGGUGUAUAUAUUUUUAAGAGUGUCGAGAAACUUCUUACCAUCAGCAAGUUUCAUGGCAUUGCACCCCCACCAUUCAAUAUGCAAGACAGUAAAGAUCUAGAGCCACUAGAGAUAGCCAUCAACAAAUUCUGGAAGACAGUUCCAAAUUUCUUGAGGUUCAGGAGUUCAGUAGCUAAAGAAACUCAUGAACACAGGUUGGCGUUCCUUUUUUCUACUCCCUCCGUUCCUAAAUAUAAGUCUUUUUUAGAGAUUCCAACAUUGACUACAUACGGAGCAAAAUGAGUGAAUCUUGUAUCCUAAAUAUUUGUCUUUCUAGUUUCUAAAUAUUUGUCUUUCUAGAGAUUUCAACAACUGACUACAUACGGAGCAAAAUGAGUGAAUCUAUACUCUAAAAUAUAUCUAUAUACCAUUUGAAAUCCGUAAAAGACAAAUAUUUAGGAACGGAUGGAGUAGAACAAAGCUUUGCCUAGAUUCUGUACAACAGAGGCAGCUUUCAAGGAUACAAGAUGAUUCACAUUGAGUGGCUGUGACUUCUUCAGAGGAAAAGAAAAGAGCUCACUAGUCCAGCUCGGCAAACAUAAUGUUGGACAGAGCUUCCAAAUACCUACUGUACUAUUCUGUCCAAUCAAGGAUGUAAAAAAAAUCAGCCCAGCAAAAGUAUGCAAGCAAACAUGCCCCGUGACACAUCACUUUCAGUAGAGGGAAAUAGCUCAGCUCGUCGGAUUUAUGCAACUGAAUCACAUCGCCGAGUCAAGAUAAAGAGAAUACAAAAAUCCAUGCACUGAUUUGCUUGAUAACAUUUCAAAUGUUUCUCAGGAUCAUAGAUCCAAAGAUUACAGGCUGCCUGCAUGAGAAACGAAAUGAGACUACAAAAUCAAAGCUUCGGUUGCCUGCCUUGGCGUACCAGUCGAGCAUCAGGGUGUCAGGGUGGGGGCCGCGGGCGGACGCGGGCGCCGCGCGGAAGAGCGCCUCCGCGCGCGGGAGGUCGCCGGACCUCGGGUGGAGGUCGACCGUGGCGGCGUAGGCGACGGCGUCCCGGCGCGGCCUUUCGUCGAGCGCCGCGCGGGCCUGGUCAUCGGCAGUGCGGAGGUCGCGGCGGGCGGGGGCUCGUGGAUACUGGUCGGCACGGUUCGCCAGGGCGCCAUGGAGGCGGGAAAAGACGGUGUGGAGCGGGGGACGGGGGAGAAGCCGCCGGCGCCGGCGAGGAAAGGCGCGGGACAUGCUCGGCUCCGCCGUCUGACGGGAGAAAAGUAAGUGAGAGUGGCAACGGCUCGAUUUUCUGCUCAGAAUCAACAUGUUCGUGCAACAGAGUAAAUCAAAAUAAAUACUACCUCUGUUCAUAAAUAUAAGACGUUUUGGCAGUAUAGAUUGAACUUCCAAAAGGUCAUAUAUUUAGGAAUGGAGGGAGUAGUAAAUAAAUUUAAAAGAUUCUGAAAAGAAAAAUUGUAGAUGUUCAUAUUAGUGUAGCAAGCGUGCUUGACAAUUUUCGUGUCGUAUGGGAUACCAGUGCUUCGACGGUGAAAAAACAAAAUCAAGUGUAACAUUUGAGAUUUGACUUUUUUUUCUUGCACAGGAUCAAAAUGCUUAAGUCUUUCCUCUGGAAAUUUGCAUGUACCAUUCAGACGUGACAACACACACAUCUAUUUUUUUUUUCAAAAAAAAUUGACAUUGGUAAAAUCCAUUUUUGGCACGAAGGAGCAUGUGCUCCCUAGAGCCAAAAUGGAUUUCCGCACUGAACACUUGCUACCUAAAACGUCUUAUAUUUGUUUGCUUUUGUGGUGGUGUGAUAGAACACAUUCCAAGCCUUUAUGCAGCUGCUCCUUCACAAGUUUUCCUGAAUGAAACCAAAUAUAUCAGGAAAGAAAAUUCAACAAAUAAAUUAAAAAAAAUACUGCAUAUAAUGCGGCUUUAGAACCUAGCAAGGAUUUCAGAACACUGGCCGUGUGAAAUCACCAAGAGCAAUGUCUCGGUGUAACAAUUUUCAGAAUUGCAUGUUCAGUAGAACAAAGCUUUGCCUGGAUUCUGUACAAGGGAGCUUUCAAGGAUACAAGAUGAUUCACAUUGAGUGGUUACAGAUGUAGUGCUAUUUUGUCCAAUCAAGGAUGUAAAAUAAAUCAGCUCAGCAAAUGAAUCAGCAAACAUGCCCCGUAAACAUCACUUCCGGUAGAGGAAAAUGGCUCAGCUCGUCAGAUUUAUGCAACUGAAUCACGUCGUCGAGUCAAGAUAAAGAGAAUAGUAAAUCCACGCACUGAUUUGCUUGAUAACAUUUCAAAUGUUUCUCAGGAUCAUAGAUCCAAAGAUUACAGACUGCCCGCAUGAGAAACGAGACUACAUAAUCAAGCUUCGAUUGCCUGCCUGAAGCUUCAACAGCAGAAAACAUUGCAGCAUUCAGAUGGAGCUUCAAAAUUCAGAGUAUAGUUGCGGCCGCUGAGUCGCCAUGGCGAUGGGCAGCACCCCGACCGCCAACCACCGUCGCAUGAGAGCAGCACCACGGCCGCUGAACCUCCAUCGCACGGGGGUAGCGUCGCGGCUACCAAGUUGCUGUCACAUCGGGGGCAGCUGCUGCUGGCCCCGAGUUGCCCAUGCUAAGAUAAGGGGGUAUGUGUAAAACAGUGCUUAAGUGACUUGUUGGUAAUUCCACUAUUGAUCUCUGCCAUCCAGUAUAUCGAUCUAAUGGGCCACGGUGGAAGCUUUCAGAUUUGCGCUGAAUGUUAGUUUUCACUGGAUACGUCGCCCUUCUUGAAUUGCCAAAGCUAUUUGCCUGCAAAUAUAAACACUUGCAUUCCUUAGGAAGAUUAAAAAUAAGAUUCAAUCAAUGGAGUAAAAAGAUGGCGAUUUAUUACCUUCAUUCACAGGCCCUGCGAUGGCUUGUAAUGUUGCCACACUUGUGGUGGGUAGCCUUUGUUGGUGGUGUACAGUGAGAAGCAGCAACAACUUCUUCUACUGCCAAUGGACCAUCUUUCACUAUUUUACAUACAACAGUAACAAUUUCUGGAAGACAGUCAUGAACACAGGUUGGCGUUCCUCUUUUCCGCGAGGAAAGUAGAAUAUGGUAUUUUAUCAAAUUCACUUUCACCGGAGGGACAAGCGCGUCGUCCAGCAUCUCAUAUAUUACCUCUGUUCCUAAAUAUAAGUCGUUGGGGCAGUACAACGACUUAUAUUUGGGAAUGGAGGGAGUAUUCUGUACUGUGUGUCAAAGCAUUGUGUGCGGGAUGAAAUAGGCUUGUUCAUCAAAGAGAUCAAUUACCCUAAAAAAUCAAAGAGAUCAAUCAGCUGAUGCAAGCUUGCAACUGCAUCGACCAGCUCACACUGUUACAAUCCUACUUCAUCAUCUAGGGGACAGGCGUGUUGUCUAGCAUCUCGUAUAUCGCUUCCCGCUGCGGAUGCAUCUUAUCCUUGAGAAGAGAGUGCGGGUCCUUUGCAUCCAACAUUAUCUGGAUAACCCCGGGUGUCCUCCACACCUGGCUCCCCUUCAUGGCCUUAUACGCACCUACCAUGUAGUAGCCUCCCAAACCUGAACCAGAGGGACCG